UACAGGGGGGGCAAGCGUUGUUCGGAAUUACUGGGCGUAAAGGGCUCGUAGGCGGCCAACUAAGUCACACGUGAAAUCCCCAGGCUUAACCUGGGAACUGCGUGUGAUACUGGAUGGCUUGAAUUCGGGAGAGGGAUGCAGAAUUCCAGGUGUAGCGGUGAAAUGCGUAGAUAUCCGGAGGAACACCGGUGGCGAAGGCGGCUUCCUGGACCGACACUGACGCUGAGGCGCGAAAGCGUGGGGAGCGAACGGG
rnacentral:rRNA from 1 species